AGUGAACGCUGGCGGUAGGCCUAACACAUGCAAGUCGAACGGCAGCACAGGAGAGCUUGCUCUCUGGGUGGCGAGUGGCGGACGGGUGAGGAAUACAUCGGAAUCUACUCUGUCGUGGGGGAUAACGUAGGGAAACUUACGCUAAUACCGCAUACGACCUACGGGUGAAAGCAGGGGACCUUCGGGCCUUGCGCGAUUGAAUGAGCCGAGGUCGGAUUGGCUAGUUGGCGGGGUAAAGGCCCACCAAGGCGACGAUCCGUAGCUGGUCUGCGAGGAUGAUCAGCCACACUGGAACUGAGACACGGUCCAGACUCCUACGGGAGGCAGCAGUGGGGAAUAUUGGACAAUGGGCGCAAGCCUGAUCCAGCCAUACCGCGUGGGUGAAGAAGGCCUUCGGGUUGUAAAGCCCUUUUGUUGGGAAAGAAAUCCAGCUGGCUAAUACCCGGUUGGGAUGACGGUACCCAAAGAAUAAGCACCGGCUAACUUCGUGCCAGCCGCCGCCGUAA
rnacentral:rRNA from 1 species